rnacentral:lncRNA from 13 species
GUCGUCCAGUGAAAAACGCUAUUAGCCGGGUAAGUUCUUAAAGGUCUUGAAACAGGAACAGAAAUAGAAGCGGGAACAUCCAAACUGGUUACAGGUUCCGUAGAAGAAGAGCAAGAGAACAAAUAAUCAGAAAUACGUUUGACAACAAGAAAAGGCCCAGAAUAAGGAGGUUGAAGAGCAUUCUUGACAGCAUCAUCACGAAUCCAAACAUUUCAGGAUCCGCAGGAAAAUCCUCUUCAAUAAAAAAUUCUCCAGGAAUCCGAAGAGUGGUUCCAUAGAGUAGUUCCGCAGGUGAAGCUUUUAAAUCUUCUUUAAAACAUGAACGAAGACCCAGAAGAACUGAAGGAAGAGACUCUAGCCAAUUCUUCGUCUGAUGACACAUAAUGGCAGUCUUGACAGUC